rnacentral:rRNA from 1 species
CCUACGGGAGGCAGCAGUGGGGAAUAUUGCACAAUGGGCGAAACCCUGAUGCAGCGACGCCGCGUGAGUGAAGAAGUCUCUCGGUAUGUUAAACUCUAUCAGCAGGGGAGCAGAAAGACGGUCCCUGCCUAAGAAGCCCCGGCUAACUACGGGCCCGCAGCCGCGGUACUACGUAGGGGGCAAGCGUUAUCCGGGUUUACUGGGGUUAACGGGAGCGUAGACGGCUGUGCAAGUCUGAAGUGAAAGCCCAGGGCUCAACCCUGGGACUGCCUUGGAAACUGGGGGGCUAGAGUGCUGGAGAGGUAAGUGGAAUGCCUGGUGUAGCGGUGAAAUGCGUAGAUAUUAGGAAGAACACCAGUGGCGAAGGCGGCGUACUGGACAGUAACUGACGUUGAGGCACGAAAGCGUGGGGAGCAAACAGGAUUAGAUACCCUAGUAGUC